rnacentral:rRNA from 1 species
AGAGUUUGAUCCUGGCUCAGGACGAACGCUGGCGGCGUGCCUAAUACAUGCAAGUCGAGCGGACGGAUGGGAGCUUGCUCCCUGAAGUUAGCGGCGGACGGGUGAGUAACACGUGGGCAACCUGCCCUGCAGAUGGGGAUAACUCCGGGAAACCGGGGCUAAUACCGAAUAAUCAGUUUGUCCGCAUGGACAAACUCUGAAAGACGGUUUCGGCUGUCACUGCAGGAUGGGCCCGCGGCGCAUUAGCUAGUUGGUGGGGUAAUGGCCUACCAAGGCGACGAUGCGUAGCCGACCUGAGAGGGUGAUCGGCCACACUGGGACUGAGACACGGCCCAGACUCCUACGGGAGGCAGCAGUAGGGAAUCUUCCACAAUGGACGAAAGUCUGAUGGAGCAACGCCGCGUGAGUGAAGAAGGUUUUCGGGUCGUAAAGCUCUGUUGUAAGGGAAGAACACGUACGAGAGUAACUGCUCGUACCUGACGGUACCUAUAG